rnacentral:rRNA from 1 species
ACUCCUACGGGAGGCAGCAGUGGGGAAUAUUGCACAAUGGGCGCAAGCCUGAUGCAGCCAUGCCGCGUGUGUGAAGAAGGCCUUCGGGUUGUAAAGACUUUCAGUCGUGAGGAAAGGUGAGUGUUAAGUUAAUAGGCCUGCUAUUAUUUGACGUUAGCGAACAAGAAGAAGCGACCGGCUAACUCCGUGCCAGCAGCCGCGGUAAUACGGAGGGUGCGAGCGUUAAUCGGAAUUACUGGGCGUAAAGCGCAUGCAGGUGGCUUUGUUAAGUCAGAUGUGAAAGCCCGGGGCUCAACCUCGGAAUUGCAUUUGAAACUGGC